AUUGAACGCUGGCGGCAUGCUUUACACAUGCAAGUCGAACGGUAACAGGCCGCAAGGUGCUGACGAGUGGCGAACGGGUGAGUAAUGCAUCGGAACGUGCCCAGUCGUGGGGGAUAACUACUCGAAAGAGUAGCUAAUACCGCAUACGAUCUAUGGAUGAAAGCGGGGGACCGUAAGGCCUCGCGCGAUUGGAGCGGCCGAUGUCAGAUUAGGUAGUUGGUGGGGUAAAGGCUCACCAAGCCAACGAUCUGUAGCUGGUCUGAGAGGACGACCAGCCACACUGGGACUGAGACACGGCCCAGACUCCUACGGGAGGAAGCAGUGGGGAAUUUUGGACAAUGGGCGCAAGCCUGAUCCAGCAAUGCCGCGUGCAGGAAGAAGGCCUUCGGGUUGUAAACUGCUUUUGUACGGAACGAAACGGCUCUGGUUAAUACCCGGGGCUAAUGACGGUACCGUAAGAAUAAGCACCGGCUAACUACGUG
rnacentral:rRNA from 1 species